rnacentral:lncRNA from 1 species
CUGACUGUCAACCUUCAAUACUAGUCCCAAAUGGACUUCUCGUCUUUUCGGAUUACUUAUCUACAAUGAACAUAUAUAGCAAUCUAGUAUUAGCGACCAAAUGUCACAAUUCAAUUAUUUGAAUUCACCAAACUAGUGGUUAAGUAGUAAGCCUUAAUUACACCAUAAAGGGUGUCACUUUAACCCUCUUAUACUCUAAUUACAUUCACAUGCCAUGCAUAUUCAUACAACAUCCUCCAAUAUCAAGUUUGGAUUCAUUUAUACUUCCAACCAAUCCAUUAAACCAAAUUGAG